AUUGAACGCUGGCGGCAGGCCUAACACAUGCAAGUCGAGCGAGCGGCGGACGGGUGAGUAAUGUAUGGGGAUCUGCCCGAUAGAGGGGGAUAACUACUGGAAACGGUGGCUAAUACCGCAUACUAUCGGAUGAACCCAGAUGGGAUUAGAUAGUAGGUGGGGUAAAGGCUCACGUAGGCGACGAUCACUAGCUGGUCUGAGAGGAUGAUCAGCCACACUGGAACGGAGACACGGCCCAGACUCCUACGGGAGGCAGCAGUGGGGAAUAUUGCACAAUGGGCGCAAGCCUGAUGCAGCCAUGCCGCGUGUAGGAAGAAGGCCUUAGGGUUGUAAAGUACUUUCAGCGGGGAGGCGUUACCCGCAGAAGAAGCACCGGCUAACUCCGUGCCAGCAGCCGCGGUAAUAC
rnacentral:rRNA from 1 species